GACCCGAAACCCGGUGAUCUAGCCAUGGGCAGGUUGAAGGUUGGGUAACACUAACUGGAGGACCGAACCGACUAAUGUUGAAAAAUUAGCGGAUGACUUGUGGCUGGGGGUGAAAGGCCAAUCAAACCGGGAGAUAGCUGGUUCUCCCCGAAAGCUAUUUAGGUAGCGCCUCGUGAAUUCAUCUCCGGGGGUAGAGCACUGUUUCGGCAAGGGGGUCAUCCCGACUUACCAACCCGAUGCAAACUGCGAAUACCGGAGAAUGUUAUCACGGGAGACACACGGCGGGUGCUAACGUCCGUCGUGAAGAGGGAAACAACCCAGACCGCCAGCUAAGGUCCCAAAGUCAUGGUUAAGUGGGAAACGAUGUGGGAAGGCCCAGACAGCCAGGAUGUUGGCUUAGAAGCAGCCAUCAUUUAAAGAAAGCGUAAUAGCUCACUGGUCGAGUCGGCCUGCGCGGAAGAUGUAACGGGGCUAAACCAUGCACCGAAGCUGCGGCAGCGACGCUUAUGCGUUGUUGGGUAGGGGAGCGUUCUGUAAGCCUGUGAAGGUGUACUGUGAGGUAUGCUGGAG
rnacentral:rRNA from 1 species